UACGUGGGUCCCGAGCGUUGUCCGGAUUUAUUGGGCGUAAAGCGAGCGCAGGUGGUUUAUUAAGUCUGGUGUAAAAGGCAGUGGCUCAACCAUUGUAUGCAUUGGAAACUGGUAGACUUGAGUGCAGGAGAGGAGAGUGGAAUUCCAUGUGUAGCGGUGAAAUGCGUAGAUAUAUGGAGGAACACCGGUAGCGAAAGCGGCUCUCUGGCCUGUAACUGACACUGAGGCUCGAAAGCGUGGGGAGCAAACAGG
rnacentral:rRNA from 1 species